rnacentral:rRNA from 1 species
UACAGAGGUCCCAAGCGUUGUUCGGAUUCACUGGGCGUAAAGGGUGCGUAGGCGGUCGGGUAAGUCUGAUGUGAAAUCUCACAGCUUAACUGUGAAACUGCAUUGGAUACUAUUCGGCUUGAGAGUUGGAGGGGGGACUGGAAUUCUUUGUGUAGCAGUGAAAUGCGUAGAUAUCAAGAGGAACACCAGUGGCGAAGGCGAGUCCCUGGACAACUUCUGACGCUGAGGCACGAAAGCUAGGGGAGCAAACAGG